rnacentral:rRNA from 1 species
AGAGUUUGAUCAUGGCUCAGGACGAACGCUAGCGGCAGGCUUAAUACAUGCAAGUCGAGGGGCAGCAUGAGUGUAGCAAUACAUUUGAUGGCGACCGGCAAACGGGUGCGGAACACGUACACAACCUUCCUAUAAGUGGGGAAUAGCCCAGAGAAAUUUGGAUUAAUACCCCGUAACAUAAUGAUGUGGCAUCACAUUAUUAUUAUAGCUACGGCGCUUAUUGAUGGGUGUGCGGCUGAUUAGAUAGUUGGCGGGGUAACGGCCCACCAAGUCUACGAUCAGUAGCUGAUGUGAGAGCAUGAUCAGCCACACGGGCACUGAGACACGGGCCCGACUCCUACGGGAGGCAGCAGUAAGGAAUAUUGGUCAAUGGACGCAAGUCUGAACCAGCCAUGCCGCGUGAAGGAUUAAGGUCCUCUGGAUUGUAAACUUCUUUUAUCUGGGACGAAAAAAGGCGAUUCUUCGUCACUUGACGGUACCAGAUGAAUAAGCACCGGCUAACUCCGUGCCAGCAGCCGCGGUAAUACGGAGGGUGCAAGCGUUAUCCGGAUUCACUGGGUUUAAAGGGUGCGUAGGCGGGUAGGUAAGUCAGUGGUGUAAUCCUGGAGCUUAACUCCAGAACUGCCAUUGAUACUAUCUAUCUUGAAUAUUGUGGAGGUAAGCGGAAUAUGUCAUGUAGCGGUGAAAUGCUUAGAUAUGACAUAGAACACCUAUUGCGAAGGCAGCUUACUACGCAUAUAUUGACGCUGAGGCACGAAAGCGUGGGGAUCAAACAGGAUUAGAUACCCUGGUAGUCCAA